rnacentral:rRNA from 1 species
GUGCCAGCCGCGGCGGUAAUACGGAGGGUGCAAGCGUUAAUCGGAAUUACUGGGCGUAAAGCGCACGCAGGCGGUCUGACAAGUCGGAUGUGAAAUCCCCGGGCUCAACCCGGGAACUGCAUUCGAAACUGUCAGGCUGGAGUCUUGUAGAGGGGGGUAGAAUUCCAGGUGUAGCGGUGAAAUGCGUAGAGAUCUGGAGGAAUACCGGUGGCGAAGGCGGCCCCCUGGACAAAGACUGACGCUCAGGUGCGAAAGCGUGGGGAGCAAACAGGAUUAGAUACCCUGGUAGUCCACGCUGUAAACGAUGUCGACUUGGAGGUUGUGCCCUUGAGGCGUGGCUUCCGGAGCUAACGCGUUAAGUCGACCGCCUGGGGAGUACGGCCGCAAGGUUAAAACUCAAAUGAAUUGACGGGGCCCGCACAAGCGGUGGAGCAUGUGGUUUAAUUCGAUGCAACGCGAAGAACCUUACCUGGUCUUGACAUCCACAGAAGUUUUCAGAGAUGAGAAUGUGCCUUCGGGAACUGUGAGACAGGUGUC